rnacentral:rRNA from 1 species
AAUGAACGCUGGCGGCGUGCUUAACACAUGCAAGUCGAACGAGAAAGUGGACUUCGGUCCGCGAGUAAAGUGGCGCACGGGUGAGUAACGCGUGAAUAAUCUACCCCCGAAUUUGGGAUAACAGUUCGAAAGGGCUGCUAAUACCGGAUGACAUUGUCUUUUUUACGGAUUAGACGAUCAAAGAGGGCCUCUCCUUGGAAGCUUUUGUUUGGGGAUGAGUUCGCGUACCAUUAGCUUGUUGGUGGGGUAAUGGCCUACCAAGGCUGCGAUGGUUAGCUGGUUUGAGAGAAUGAUCAGCCACACUGGAACUGACACACGGUCCAG